CGGAAGUAAAGUCGUAACAAGGUUCCGUAGGUGAACCUGCGAAGGAUCAUUAUAAAUGGUCUACGUUUUUUAAGUAGACGCUUAAUAAUCUACCUUGUGAAUUUGUUGUUUGAAAUAAUUUUUUUUAAAUUAUUGAUUGUCUUUCCUGUUGAAUUGGUUGUCUUAAUGGCAAAUGAUUCGCAGGGAGUGUCAGUAAUUUUAAAAGACCUUUUUAAAUUAACUUUUUGUAUUCAUUUGUCUAAAAUUAUUUUAUAAUAUAAAACAACUUUGACAAUGGAUCUCUUGGUUCUCGCACGAUGAAAACGCAGCAAAAUGCGAUAAGUAGUGUGAAUUGCAGAAUACGUGAAUCAUCGAAUCUUCGAACGCAUAUUGCACUUUUUAGUUUACUAAAAAGUAUGUCUGUUUGAGUAUCAGUAAAUAUUCUCAUAAAAACUUUUGUUUUAUGGUUAUGAGUGUUUACAACGAUACAAGUUGUUUCACUUUAAUUUUUUAAAUUUGAAUUUUCUAAUUUAAAUAAAUUGGAUAAAUUCUCCCGUAAAAAGGAAUACCUAAACAAUUUAAUUUUGAUUAGAAUUCUUCAAUUAUAAAGAAAUUUAACUAAAUAACUUGAUCUCAAUCAGAUAAAGUACCGCUGAACUUAAGCAUAUCAUAAGCGGAGGAAAAGAACUAACAAGGAUUCCUUAGUAACGGCGAGUGAAGCGGAAGAGCUCAAAUUGAAUCUUCAAGUUUACCUUGACGAAUUGUAGUUUAAAGAAGUGUUUCUGUUGAAGUUUUGGUAAAGUUCUUUGGAAUAGGACAUCAUAGAGGUGAGAAUCCGUAUUUGACCAUUAUUUUCAGCUGUGUGAUACACUUCAAAGAGUCGGAUUGUUGGAAUGCAGUCCAAAAUGGUGGUAAAUUUCAUCUAAAGCUAAAUAUUGGCGAGAGACCGAUAGCGAACAAGUACCGUGAGGAAAGAUGAAAAGAACUUUGAAAGAGAGUAACAGUACGUGAAAUUGUCAAAAGGAAGCGUUGACACCAGUGUUGUUUCUCGAAAUCAUUAAAAAGUUGGAUUUGUGUUGUAUUGACCUUAACAGCUUGCUCACUCUUUUCUUGCUUUUUUAAUGCACUUUUCGUUUAACAAGUCAACAUCAGUUUCUUUGUUGUAAAAGGUCAUUGGAAGGUGCUUCUCUUCGGAGAAGUGUUAUAGCCUUUGAUCUCUGCAAUCGAGAGACUGAGGUCUGCAGCGUAGAUCCUUCGGGUUAGAUACAUUGUGCUAAGCUACAGCUUUCAUAGACAACUUGUUGACUAUGUUUAGUCUUGUAACUUACCGCUUAUGCUAUUUACCUACGCUUAGAUGUUGA
rnacentral:misc_RNA from 1 species